UGCUGCAUGGUUGUCGUCAGCUCGUGCCGUGAGGUGUCGGGUUAAGUCCCAUAACGAGCGGCAACCCUCGUCCUUAGUUGCCAGCAUAGUUGGGCACUCUAAGGAGACUGCCGGUGUUAAACCGGAGGAAGGCGGGGAUGACGUCAAGUCCUCAUGGCCCUUAUGUCCAGGGCUACACACGUGCUACAAUGGCCGGUACAAAGGGUAGCAAGACCGCGAGGUGGAGCCAAUCCCAAAAAGCCGGUCUCAGUUCGGAUUGGAGUCUGCAACUCGACUCCAUGAAGUUGGAAUCGCUAGUAAUCGCGGAUCAGCAUGCCGCGGUGAAUACGUUCCCGGGCCUU
rnacentral:rRNA from 1 species